rnacentral:rRNA from 1 species
UAGCGGCGAGCGAACGGGGAGGAGCCCAGAGCCUGAAUCAGCAUGUGUGUUAGUGGAAGCGUCUGGAAAGGCGCGCGAUACAGGGUGACAGCCCCGUACACAAAAGCGCAUGUGCUGUGAGCUCGAUGAGUAGGGCGGGACACGUGGUAUCCUGUCUGAAUAUGGGGGGACCAUCCUCCAAGGCUAAAUACUCCUGACUGACCGAUAGUGAACCAGUACCGUGAGGGAAAGGCGAAAAGAACCCCGGCGAGGGGAGUGAAAAAGAACCUGAAACCGUGUACGUACAAGCAGUGGGAGCCCCACCACUAAGCCAGUGGUGAACUCCACAUACGCAUCCUUUGCUGAGGAUACGGUUAACGGAGCGAAAGCGACGUUCAACCUCAAAAGAAGCAGAGGGGGCUUAGUGGUGGGGUGACUGCGUACCUUUUGUA